UAGGGAAUAUUGGUAAUCUGGGAAACCGGGAACCAGCAACGCCGCGUGCGCGAUGAAGGUCUUCGGGUCGUAAAGCGCUUUUUGAAGGGAUGAGGAAGGACAGUACCUUCAGAAUAAGCCUCGGCUAACUACGUGCCAGCAGCCGCGGUAAAACGUAGGAGGCGAGCGUUAUCCGGAUUUACUGGGCGUAAAGCGUGUGUAGGCGGUUUGAUAAGUUGGAUGUGAAAGCUCCCGGCUCAACUGGGAGAGGUCGUUCAAAACUAUCAGACUCGAGAGUGGUAGAGGGAGGUGGAAUUCCGCGUGUAGUGGUGAAAUGCGUAGAUAUGCGGAGGAACACCAGUGGCGAAAGCGGCCUCCUGGCCCAUUUCUGACGCUCAGACACGAAAGCUAAGGUAGCAAACG
rnacentral:rRNA from 1 species